rnacentral:lncRNA from 1 species
CCUAAUUUGCAAAUUUUAAGUUCUCUCUCAAGUUUAGACAUAACUGUUAUAAUUUAAAGCUUGCUCUAGACCUAAACUUGUGGGAUGAAAACAUGAUCUGAAGUCUAAGUUGUUAACGGAUACGAUAUGGGAAGGUUGAGCUGCUGUUUAUCUGUUCCUAGAGAUGCUAGAAUUCUGGAGAAUUUUAUCUUUGAAAAUCUUUAAAAUGUUGCAUGAUGAGUUCCUGUAUGAUGAGAGCUUAAAAAUUCCUACCACAGCCGUAUAUACAUGCUUGCUAGACUUUGAGCCACACAUUUAUUAUUUACUGCUUAUGAGCAUUGAGUGUGGUCAAGCUGUGUAGACCCUUAGGAGCUUGUCAUGUGGUUAAAUCAAGAUUUCACUUGCACGUUCACUCAUAUAUGCUACUUCUACUCCGGAAGUACCAUCCACAUAUAUCCAUCCAUUCCAUCUCCGGAACCACCUGAAAAUAUUCUACUCCUAAUCCGGGAGAGAAUAACCAAAAAUAUUUUCUGUUUUCCCUUGUGAAAUAAAUGCUCAAGUUAUCUUGUUACUACCACUUGCUAUAUUAUCUCAAGAGAUGAGUGCUCUAAAAAAAAGAGAAAAUAAUACGAGGAAAUAAAAAGGAGCAAGUGCUCGGAACCUCAAAAGAAAAGAAAAAGUGAGACAAGAGGUAAAAAUGGACAAGUGUCCGACAGUAGAAUUAGGGGUGCAAGAUACCCACCUGAGAGACAAGAAAAAGAAGAGCAUCUCAUUCUCCUCAUAAAGUUUCUAAAGCAAGGAAGGUAUGUAUCUCCUCAAAGAGCAAAAGUAGAAUUAGACUUCCACCUCCAUUGUUUUCACCAUUGUUAUCACCAUCAUCACCAUAUACCAUUCAUUCGCCACACAUGCACAUCUUGAUUAAACUUAUUGACUUGUUACUUUGGAUCCAUGGUUUGACUAUGCAAUAAAUGUCUUGUAAGAAUGUAUACUUUAUCUCCCACCUAUGAGCUCCAGAUAUUAAAGCCUUAUUAGAGUAGGAUGAGAGAGAAGGCAAUGUCACUAUGCCUCAUACCACAAAUACCACAUAUCUUGAGAGAAGGCAUAUACCAUCAAUGCCUUGGUAAGGAUCCAAAAAUAUCACAAAAGAGAGACCUGAGAGAAUCAUACAAGGAAUCUCUGAAUUUUAUUUGAAAAUCUACAAAAACCCCAGAGCUAUAGCUGAUCAAUAAUAAGAGACAUGGCACUUGGCUAGACUGUUCUAUCUUUUAACCACUCAAGACAGAAGUGACAGUUACAAGUCCCAUGGUGGAGGUAAAGUAAGUAAGUUUUAAGUCUUGACAGUUUACUCUAACUCAGAGAUGAGAUCUUAUUUAAAAGCAUGUGAACCGUCAAAUUUUUUAAAAUAUUGCAGC